UACGUAGGGUGCGAGCGUUGUCCGGAAUUACUGGGCGUAAAGAGCUCGUAGGUGGUUUGUCGCGUUGUCCGUGAAAACUCACAACUCAAUUGUGGGCGUGCGGGCGAUACGGGCAGACUGGAGUACUGCAGGGGAGACUGGAAUUCCUGGUGUAGCGGUGGAAUGCGCAGAUAUCAGGAGGAACACCAAUGGCGAAGGCAGCUCUCUGGUACGUGACUGACGCUGAGACGCGAAAGCGUGGGGAGCGAACAGG
rnacentral:rRNA from 1 species